rnacentral:rRNA from 1 species
GGGUCAACGCUGGCGGCGUGCCUAUACAUGCAGUCGAGCGGACAGAUGGGAGCUUGCUCCCUGAUGUUAGCGGCGGACGGGUGAGUAACACGUGGGUAACCUGCCUGUAAGACUGGGAUAACUCCGGGAAACCGGGGCUAAUACCGGAUGCUUGUUUGAACCGCAUGGUUCAAACAUAAAAGGUGGCUUCGGCUACCACUUACAGAUGGACCCGCGGCGCAUUAGCUAGUUGGUGAGGUAAUGGCUCACCAAGGCGACGAUGCGUAGCCGACCUGAGAGGGUGAUCGGCCACACUGGGACUGAGACACGGCCCAGACUCCUACGGGAGGCAGCAGUAGGGAAUCUUCCGCAAUGGACGAAAGUCUGACGGAGCAACGCCGCGUGAGUGAUGAAGGUUUUCGGAUCGUAAAGCUCUGUUGUUAGGGAAGAACAAGUACCGUUCGAAUAGGGCGGUACCUUGACGGUACCUAACCAGAAAGCCACGGCUAACUACGUGCCAGCAGCCGCGGUAAUACGUAGGUGGCAAGCGUUGUCCGGAAUUAUUGGGCGUAAAGGGCUCGCAGGCGGUUUCUUAAGUCUGAUGUGAAAGCCCCCGGCUCAACCGGGGAGGGUCAUUGGAAACUGGGGAACUUGAGUGCAGAAGAGGAGAGUGGAAUUCCACGUGUAGCGGUGAAAUGCGUAGAGAUGUGGAGGAACACCAGUGGCGAAGGCGACUCUCUGGUCUGUAACUGACGCUGAGGAGCGAAAGCGUGGGGAGCGAACAGGAUUAGAUACCCUGGUAGUCCACGCCGUAAACGAUG